rnacentral:tRNA from 1 species
GCGGGGGUGCCCGAGCCAGGUCAAAGGGGCAGGAUGGGGCCCUGUGGCGUAGGCCUGCGUGGGUUCAGGCGACGCCGCCCACAAAUCCCACCCCCCGCA